UACGAAGGGGGCUAGCGUUGCUCGGAAUCACUGGGCGUAAAGCGCACGUAGGCGGAUUGUUAAGUCAGGGGUGAAAUCCUGGAGCUCAACUCCAGAACUGCCUUUGAUACUGGCGAUCUUGAGUCCGGGAGAGGUGAGUGGAACUCCGAGUGUAGAGGUGAAAUUCGUAGAUAUUCGGAAGAACACCGGUGGCGAAGGCGGUCUGCUGGGCAGUUGCUGACACUGAUGCGCGACAGCGUGGGGAGCAACAGG
rnacentral:rRNA from 1 species